UACGAAGGGGGCUAGCGUUGUUCGGAUUUACUGGGCGUAAAGCGCACGUAGGCGGAAUGUUAAGUCAGAGGUGAAAUCCUGGAGCUCAACUCCAGAACUGCCUUUGAUACUGGCAAUCUAGAGUCCGGAAGAGGUGAGUGGAACUCCUAGUGUAGAGGUGGAAUUCGUAGAUAUUAGGAAGAACACCAGUGGCGAAGGCGGCUCACUGGUCCGGUACUGACGCUGAGGUGCGAAAGCGUGGGGAGAAAACAGG
rnacentral:rRNA from 1 species